UUGUAAAACACAUCUGCUAUAGUCUCGUCACGCUCGUGGACAUUUUUCCUGCUGGCAUUUACAUUUUGCAGUUAGUUAAAUGGAACUUAAGUGCAGGCAUUAGCUGCGCCAUCGGCAGUUUAUUGGUUUAAGUGGCUAAUAUAUGAGUUUGGAAUCUAACCACUUCACAAAUGUCCACGGGCAGGAAGUUGCACGAAGAGGAGACUCGUGACCGCACUUUUUCACCAGUGUGGCCCAACCUGACAGGAUAUAGCUGGGCUCAACGUGAGCUGGGGGAAAUGAUUGUUACCAGGUGAACGCGGGAGGAGUGAAGCCUACCUGUACGCCAGAGUCAUGCACUCAAACAGUUUGUGUCGAAGUCGUAGCCCUUUUUCGGGGGGUGCUCGCUGUGGGGCGACGACACCAUGAAGUGUCCACUGUGGAUGAUCUGGGACUCCAGCCCGUCUGCCCUCCGCAGCCCCAGGGGAACACCUGGAUCUCUGCUCUGCUGAUGGUGGGAAGCCCAUAAUGUCACUUGUAAAUGUCUCCACAGAAAUAUCCUCUGGAAUCGCACACGCCAGUGAAUAUUCUCCACCUGGACACAAAACACAUCAGGUGAU